rnacentral:rRNA from 1 species
UAAUACGGAGGUGGCGAGCGUUGUUCGGAAUCACUGGGCGUAAAGGGCGCGUAGGCGGGGCCGGAAGUCGGGUGUGAAAGCCCCGGGCUCAACCCGGGAAUGGCGCUCGAGACUCUGGCUCUUGAGUCCCGGAGAGGCGGGUGGAAUUCCUGGUGUAGCGGUGAAAUGUGUAGAGAUCAGGAGGAACACCGGUGGCGCAGGCGGCCCGCUGGACGGAGACUGACGCUGAGGCGCGAAAGCGUGGGGAGCAAACGGGAUUAGAUACCCCGGUAGUCCACGCGGUAAACGAUGGGGGCUAGGUGUGGGGGGUAUCGACCCCCUCCGUGCCGAAGCUAACGCAUUAAGCCCCCCGCCUGGGGAGUACGGCCGCAAGGUUG